AGGCCUAACACAUGCAAGUCGAACGGCAGCACAGAAGAGCUUGCUCUUUGGGUGGCGAGUGGCGGACGGGUGAGUAAUGUCUGGGAAACUGCCCGAUGGAGGGGGAUAACUACUGGAAACGGUAGCUAAUACCGCAUAACGUCGCAAGACCAAAGUGGGGGACCUUCGGGCCUCACACCAUCGGAUGUGCCCAGAUGGGAUUAGCUAGUAGGUGGGGUAAUGGCUCACCUAGGCGACGAUCCCUAGCUGGUCUGAGAGGAUGACCAGCCACACUGGAACUGAGACACGGUCCAG
rnacentral:rRNA from 1 species